rnacentral:rRNA from 1 species
UACGGAGGAUCCAAGCGUUAUCCGGAUUUAUUGGGUUUAAAGGGUGCGUAGGCGGCUUAUUAAGUCAGGGGUGAAAGACGGUGGCUCAACCAUCGCAGUGCCCUUGAUACUGAUGAGCUUGAAUACACUUGAGGUAGGCGGAAUGUGACAAGUAGCGGUGAAAUGCAUAGAUAUGUCACAGAACACCAAUUGCGAAGGCAGCUUACUAAGGUGCAAUUGACGCUGAGGUGCGAAAGCGUGGGGAGCAAACAGG